AACGCGAAGAACCUUACCUGGGCUCGAAAUGUAGAGGACAAUAUGGGAAACCAUACUCUCCGCAAGGGGCUUCUAUAUAGGUGCUGCAUGGCUGUCGUCAGCUCGUGCCGUGAGGUGUUGGGUUAAGUCCCGCAACGAGCGCAACCCUUAUCGUUAUUUGCCAGCGAGUAAUGUCGGGAACUAUAGCGAGACUGCCUGCGUUAAGCAGGAGGAAGGUGAGGAUGACGUCAAGUCCGCAUGGCCUUUAUGUCCAGGGCUACACACGUGCUACAAUGGUCGAUACAGAGGGAAGCUAAGGGGCGACCUGGAGCCAACCCCAUAAAAUCGAUCUCAGUUCAGAUUGUAGUCUGCAACUCGACUACAUGAAGUUGGAAUUGCUAGUAAUGGCGUGUCAGCUACAACGCCGUGAAUACGUUCCCGGGCCUUGUACACACCGACUGUAC
rnacentral:rRNA from 1 species